rnacentral:rRNA from 1 species
AUGGAGGACAUUAUGAGGGAGCGGAGACAACCGUUUUCUAUGACUUGUGAUUUUCCUAUUGCUAGCUUUGAACAUUGUAAUAGGGAAGCACAUAUGGCUGCUCAUGAGCUUGCGAGGGAUGAAGUGGCUUGCAGGCUGUUGGCCUGCUCGUUGGAGGUUGGUGCGACAGAUGUGGUUGGAUUGCUCCGGGUGAAAGCUAUACCAUCGGUCGAAGUGGGCGACGGCGGCGUCUUCGUCGCUCCCUCCUUAGAGGCGUUGCCUUUGGAGACUCAGACACUUUGUGUGGUUGGUGGAAGUCGAUGCAGCGGCUUCGAGUUUGCUGCUUCGAUGCCGGGUAGCCAUCCCGGUCUAUGGUGCGGCGGUGGCCCUAAGAGGUGUUGCUAUGGCUUUGCUCCGUGUUGGUGGCUUUCCGGCGCUUCCCGGGUGGCCCAGUCUGUCAUGUGGUUUUUGUUUGUUCCAAUCGACGCGGCCUGGCCCAUCAAGAGAGGAGAUCGAAACCGGAACUUCGGCCGUGUCCGUCCGUGUCUGACGAACCGUACACGGAGCAAUCCGUGUCGAGCCCGUGAACGAUGGUAUUAUACCUCCCACCCGACCUCCACCUCGACGAGGGUGGAUCGAUCAUCAAUGGAUAUGGAGCAGCCCAGGAAGAAGGUGGGUCUGCGCAUCGUCCUGCACCUCGACGAGGGACUGGUCGCGGAGGUCCUCGCCCGGCUGCCGGCCAAGUGCGUCCUCCGCUUCCGCGCCGUCUGCAAAGAGUGGCUCCGCAUCAUCGACAGCACGGCCUUCCUCGCGGCGCACGCGCGCUGUCGCCCGCUCGAGCUCCUCGUCUACACCAGAAGGGAGGCCCAGGUGGUUGGCCCCGACGGCCUCCCGCAGCCCGCCACCGAGCUGGACCUGGACGCCGUCGCCGUCCCCGCCCAUCGGCCGCCGGCGGCGACGCGGCGGACCGUCGCGACCUUCCCUGACAGCUUCGACGGUGGGCUGAACCUCUACUGCUCCCUGCUGGCCUCGUGCGACGGCCUCCUCCUCAUCCGCGACGCCGCCCGGCAGUACCUCGUGUUUAACCCCGCCACCUGGCAGUGGAGCGACCUGCCGCGGCUGGCCGUACAGCAGGGCGGCCGCGCCGUGCCACAGGAGUCCGGCUUCUACUUCCACCAGCCCUCCGGCGAGUACCGACUGCUGUGCCACGUCUCGUACGAGUACGGCGAGUUCGACGCCCAAGCGCCACACUACUGCGUGUUGUCGACCGGCGCCAAGGAGCCGCGGCGAUUGAUGAGCGUGCAACCCACGUCCAUGGAGACGGAGGAGACCAUCGCCUACCACCAGUGGAUACCUAACUCCGGAUGCUUCAUGAACCUUAUGACGCCGGCGGUGCUUCACGGCCGCCUGCACUGGCUGCAGCACAUGGAGGCCGGCCUCACCGACCAGAUGGUGGCGUUCGACACGGCGGCCGAGACGUUCCGCCGGAUGCCGCCUCCGCCCGUGACCCGCAAGAUGCACUCGCACCUGCUCGUGGCGGACGGGUCGCUCAUGGCGGCUGAACUGGGCCACCGGUUCAUGGACCUCUGGUUUCUCGAGGGCUACGGCUGUGGCGCGGCCGAGGGGACGUGGGAGCACCGGCACCGCGUUGACAUGCGGUGGCCGAUCACAGGGCCGGUGCUCGUGGCGGGUGGCGACCGAGGGGACGUCGUCCUGGGACAUAACCAAGGCGUCGUGGCGUACAACCUGAGGAGCAGGACCGUCAGGCAGGUGGUCGACGUCGACGAGUCAGGAGACGACCCUCUUCUCCCAUCACGGUAUGUGUUUCGUGAGAGCCUCGUUCGGCACGGCUUCUUCCAGGCGCGGCGGCAUCCCGGCUUGCCGUCGUUCAGAUCCUGGGAUUGUUCAGUUGAGAGAAAGGAUGAGGAGUUUGUGUCGUGGCUCUCUAUGAACAAAGUCAAACCCAGAUCAACUCCAGUGAGUAAAUUGGCAAACAGAGAUCAGAAUCGGACCAGUGUUUCUGAACUGAAUUUUCGAGUUGAUCUACCCCAUUUUGAUGGCACUAAUCCACGGCUCUGGCAGACCAGAUGUGAAGAUCAAUUCCAGUUGUGGAGUGUGUCAACCCAGCUGUGGGUGUCAACGGCCUCAGCUCAGUUUGAAGGGGCAGCAGCUCGAUGGCUGGAGUCUAUAGAGGACGAGCACCUAAUAUCUGCUGGGACGAAUUCUGCAACCUAUUACAAACACGAAUGGAUCCCCUUCCCCCCUUCCCCUUCUCGCCCUAGCCGCCCAGUUCCCCUCCCCUGCACGUCGGCCGGGGUCCGGUCUUCCUCCUCUCCUCUCGCCGGUGCUCACUCCCUCCCCUCCCCUACCUGCUCGCAGGUGGUGUUUUCUCCGCCGCCUUCGCCGCUGCCUGUGCUUGGAUCUCGAUUCUGGGCCCUUGCGUCCGAUGAGGAGGAUUCACGGUCGGCUGCCUGCUCCCCCCGCUGCCCUUUGCCCUGCCCUGGGGGGAUGGCGCAGCCCCUCGUCGCUCCCCGCUCCCGCAAGUUUGCUCCUGGUGGCCGGGGUCGGUCGGUGGAUGCGGCUCCGUCUGCUGCCAGCUGGAUCCCGGUUUCGCGCCGGCGGCGCAAGUCCGGUAAGUUUGCUGCUGCUUCCCCUGGGCCUGGUAUCCUGGGUAGUGCUCCUGAUGGGGAGCUCAGAGGCCCCCAUCUUUCUCUCCUGCUGCCUCCUCGGCGGCCUCGUCGGCGGCGGCGGCGUGGUCGGGGCCGCUGGUGGCGAUGGUGUCGGUUUCCAGCUUCCUCUUCUGAUCUGCGGCGUCACCGUCUCCCCAUCCGUCGCCUCGUCAGAUCUAGCCCUCCUCCCCCUCUUCUCCUUCCUUUCGCUGCGAUGCUCGCCAUCGAUAAGUCGCGUGGCUCCUCUUGCGAGGCGGUCUCGGGCAGCAAGCGCCGCCGUGAGGAUUCUCCUGCCUUUGCGGUGGACCUGGAGCUCGAGGCUUCGCUCCGCUCCAAGCUGGAGGCAGAGCAGGCGGCGCGCGAGCAGGUGGCUCGUGACCGUGCGGCCUGGGCUUCAGGUCCGGAGUGGUUGCAGCGCUCGGAGAGGGAGCACGCGCCUGGAUCUGGUCCGCAGAGAUCUAGAUCUGGCCCCUCCCCCUCUCCGGCGCUAGAACCGUGGCAGGCGGCGGCGGCCUCUGGCGGUGGGGUUUCGUCCUCAUCUGCCUCCUUGCCUGCCUCUGGCGUGGGGCGUGGCGCGUCUACUCUGACGCGUUUCCCCCUCCUCCUCGCCCGGCUGGUGUGGGUGCUGGAUCUCGUCCGCCACCCCGGUCCUUCGUUGGGCCGGCGCAUCGGCCGCCCGGCCCGGCCUCUGGGGCGCCUCCCUCUUCGGGAAUGGGUGAUGGGCUUCUUCCCCCUCCCUUGUCACUUCCGCAACCCCGCCCUUCCUCUGCUCCCCCAAGCAACCCCUCUGCGCUCACCUGCUUCGCUUGCCACAGGCCUGGCCAUUUCCAAUCUCACUGCUCCAACCCUCCGUUCUGCUUGA